rnacentral:misc_RNA from 1 species
AAUUCUCAACCUUCUGAAUUUUUACAAGUUCAGUAAGGCUUGGAUUUGGAGGUUGCUGGCUUUUCACAAAUCAGCUCCUCUUAAAUGUAUUAGCAAAAUCUUUGCUGACCAUCAUUGGUAUGAUAAUUAUCUAUAUCAUUGAGAAUCGGCUUCCGUCUUGGAGGGUUUUGCUUCUAACAGUCUAUAUAGACAACUUGACA